ACGAACGCUGGCGGCAUGCCUAACACAUGCAAGUCGAACGAGACCUUCGGGUCUAGUGGCGCACGGGUGCGUAACGCGUGGGAAUCUGCCCUUGGGUUCGGAAUAACUCAGAGAAAUUUGAGCUAAUACCGGAUGAUGACGUAAGUCCAAAGAUUUAUCGCCCAGGGAUGAGCCCGCGUAAGAUUAGCUUGUUGGUGAGGUAAAGGCUCACCAAGGCGACGAUCUUUAGCUGGUCUGAGAGGAUGAUCAGCCACACUGGGACUGAGACACGGCCCAGACUCCUACGGGAGGCAGCAGUGGGGAAUAUUGGACAAUGGGCGAAAGCCUGAUCCAGCAAUGCCGCGUGAGUGAUGAAGGCCUUAGGGUUGUAAAGCUCUUUUACCAGGGAUGAUAAUGACAGUACCUGGAGAAUAAGCUCCGGCUAACUCCGU
rnacentral:rRNA from 1 species